UACGAAGGGGGCUAGCGUUGCUCGGAAUCACUGGGCGUAAAGCGCACGUAGGCGGAUUCUUAAGUCAGGGGUGAAAUCCUGGAGCUCAACUCCAGAACUGCCUUUGAUACUGGGAAUCUUCGAGUCCGGGAGAGGUGAGUGGAACUGCGAGUGUGGAGGUGAAAUUCGUAGAUAUCGAGAGGAACACCGGUGGCGAAGGCGGCCAACUGGACGAAUACUGACGCUGAGACUCGAAAGCGUGGGGAGCAAACAGG
rnacentral:rRNA from 1 species